rnacentral:rRNA from 1 species
UACGUAGGGGGCAAGCGUUGUCCGGAUUUAUUGGGCGUAAAGCGUCCGCAGGUGGUUUUCCAAGUCUGCUGUUAAAGCGCGAGGCUUAACCUCGUACAGGCAGUGGAAACUGGAUGACUAGAGUAUGGUAGGGGUAGCGGGAAUUCCCAGUGUAGCGGUGAAAUGCGUAGAUAUUGGGAAGAACACCAGCGGCGAAAGCGCGCUACUGGGCCAUUACUGACACUCAUGGACGAAAGCUAGGGGAGCGAAAGGG